rnacentral:rRNA from 1 species
UACGUAGGGUGCAAGCGUUAAUCGGAAUUACUGGGCGUAAAGCGUGCGCAGGCGGUUUUGUAAGUCUGUCGUGAAAGCCCCGGGCUUAACCUGGGAAUUGCGAUGGAGACUGCAAGGCUUGAAUCUGGCAGAGGGGGGUAGAAUUCCACGUGUAGCAGUGAAAUGCGUAGAGAUGUGGAGGAACACCGAUGGCGAAGGCAGCCCCCUGGGUCAAAACUGACGCUCAUGCACGAAAGCGUGGGGAGCAAACAGG